UUAAUUUAUAUGAUGACCUUAUAGUUCAGAUGAAAUCCCUGAUUAUACAUUUCAUGUCUUUCGCUCCUAUCUGAUUAUAAAUUAA